rnacentral:rRNA from 1 species
GUUAGCUUCGGCACAGAGAGGAUGAUCAGCCACACUGGGACUGAGACACGGCCCAGACUCCUACGGGAGGCAGCAGCAAGGAAUCUUGGGCAAUGGGCGAAAGCCUGACCCAGCAACGCCGCGUGAGGGAUGAAGGCUUUCGGGUUGUAAACCUCUUUUCACAGGGAAGAAUAAUGACGGUACCUGUGGAAUAAGCUUCGGCUAACUACGUGCCAGCAGCCGCGGUAAUACGUAGGAAGCAAGCGUUAUCCGGAUUUAUUGGGCGUAAAGUGAGCGUAGGUGGUCUUUCAAGUUGGAUGUGAAAUUUCCCGGCUUAACCGGGACGAGUCAUUCAAUACUGUUGGACUAGAGUACAGCAGGAGAAAACGGAAUUCCCGGUGUAGUGGUAAAAUGCGUAGAUAUCGGGAGGAACACCAGAGGCGAAGGCGGUUUUCUAGGUUGUCACUGACACUGAGGCUCGAAAGCGUGGGGAGCGAACAGAAUUAGAUACUCUGGUAGUCCACGCCUUAAACUAUGGACACUAGGUAUAGGGAGUAUCGACCCUCUCUGUGCCGAAGC